GUGGGAUUCGGCCGUGUCCGUAAGUCCUUGCGGUUCAACGGGUUGCGCGUUUUCGGUGACGGUCUUGAAAACCGUUGUACGGGAAACCGUAGCGGGGGUUCGAAUCCCUCCUCCUCCG
rnacentral:tRNA from 1 species